CUGUGUUUUGCUUCAACAGUGUUUGGAUGGAACAG
rfam:Neotoma lepida isolate 417 scaffold_51578, whole genome shotgun sequence.